rnacentral:lncRNA from 1 species
AGAAAUCUAUGGCAGUACGACAUCAACUUUUUUGUUAAAACUAACAUGAUUACUUUGAAUUAUGAGCGAAAGUCAUUUACUUGAGAAUACUUCCAAAAGAACCAAAUUCAGAUUAUGCCUUAAAGGUAGGCAAAGUUGUGUACAUACCUGUUGGCAGGACUUCUUUCAAUAUCAGAUCCAUAACCGAUUAAAUAUGCAAGCCUGAUGAACUGCCACAUUCAUGGAUACACUUCAAUAUGUAGGUAACUGCUAGCAAAUUUUGAAUGCAAAACAAGUGAACUAAAAAGCAUGCUACUUUUUCUCUCUUCAAGUUUGGUAUACAAAAAAGAAUGGUGAAGAUCACAGGAAGAAAAAGAACUGAAAAAUGUAUCAAAUAGUAAACAUUGCACCAGAUCAUCAACACAGAUGUCCACCUACCAAAAGUACAUUUCAACUACAAUAUUUUCUCUUCCAAAGUCCAAACACCACUCUCGUAUAAACAUUCAACUACAGCUAUUUAAACCCAGUACUUCUCUUUCUUUAAACUUCUGAACAUCUGCUAUACCAAAAAACCUAAACUUCUAUUAUUGUAGACAACUACACAACUUAUAAAAAUAUAAGCAUCAAAGUCAUUUGUUAUCGGUUAUAUAAAUUAUACUACCAUUAGAAAAAUAUACACAACUCUCUUAAAUUUAUGGUUACUUUCAACAAAAAAAAUACAUUUUCUUAUUAGACAAAGUCGUUUUGAAUAAAUGCAAGUGUAUGGAUUCCCACAGCAGGAGGUAGAUAGCUUAUAAAGGAAAAUUUUAGUCCACAUAAGAAAAGAAAUCUAAUACAGCACAAAAAAUUGAAAAAAACUGACAAUGGGUAUUGUUCAUAAAAUCACAAUUUAAAAUGGUAAUCUUAUAGUCUCUUUCUUUAUUCUUUUCUACUUUGUUUGCUCAUUCACAAUAUACCAAAACCAACUCACCCAUCAAAAACUUCUCGCCCAAUUUAAAUUUUGAACUUCAAAGAUUACCUUCAAGUAUCAAGUAAAGCUAAUGAUGGUAAUGAUUAUCAUCAUAAUUAACAAAAGCCCAUGCUGUAUUAAACGCUUUUCAAUUAUCAUAUAAUAACCACGUCAUAAAAACCCAUAUAUUACAAAACUAAAUCACAAACCCAAAUCAGAACUUCAAUUUCUAAACAAAACAGUCUGUAAAAUUGCAACAACAAAAAAAAUCAAAAAAUUAUAGAAUAGAGAGAAAAGAAAGAGAUAGAGAGAUUUCUAGAACCAUUUUUAUCCAAAUCAAAAGCAAAAUAAUAUCAAUGAGUAGAAGCAAAGAAUGAAAGAUUAAAAAAAUAUUACAUACCUUGAAUUUUAUGUAACCAACCAGAUACAGUCCUAUAUAUGUAAAUCCAUUCUUAAAUUUGGUUAGCAAAUGUAAGAUAGAUUUUUAUGUACAUCAAUACCGAGUGCAGAAGGGGGGAAAUACCUCAUGCUCUCCAGGGCAACCUUCUGUAAACCGGGAUCGGAAUCCUGAAGUCUCUCCACAUACAGGUCCAAUUGCUGCUUCAGUUCCAAAUCCUCCUCCGACUAUUAACCCACAAUUUUAAUUAUAUUAACAAUUCCAAAGUCAACAAUAAAUUUUUUUUGAAAAAAAAAUCAACCAAUUUUCUCGAUUUUCUCAAAUCAACAAAACAAAACUAGGAACUUACGAUAUCCUCAUCCUUCUUGUCGUCCUUCUUCUUAGAGUCCUUUGAAGAAACUUUAAUCGAUGCCUCAUCUCGGAUGGCUCCGCUGUCGCUGGCAUUAUUUGGAACCGGUGCCAUGGUGAAUCGAGUACAAGCUAAAACCCUAGAAUCAAAGAGGAGAGAGUUAUUACAGAGAUAUUAGUAUAUGAGAGUUUCAUUUUAGC